CACCCCUGGGGCGGGGGGGAGUCCCCCAGAUUGCCCGAGUUGCACCCCGCUGUCACUCUGUUCCUCCAACUAGGUACAGAGAGCAGGGAGCAGAGGAGGCGCGCAAGCACCGACCGGUCACCGCUCCAAUUACCUCAUCGCUCCAACUCCCCACCCCUCUCAAACCUGGAAGGAGCACCACCCCCGGGGGCCAAGGCCUGCGUUACCCCCCUUCUGCUCCCAGUGGCGGAGCCGUACAGGACCUGUUUCACUGCAGGGGGAUCCAAAAACAAGCCCCGUGGAGCAGCAGCCAGACCAACAGCAGCCGCAAGACAUUGUUUCUCUCCCUCUGUACCCCCUUCCCCACGCAACCCCAGAUCCAUUUACACUUUACAGAGCAUCGUGCAACAGCAAGUCACCAGGGUGGUUCAUUCGUGCUGCAGAUUUGCCUGCCAUCCUUGGCCCCCAGUCACCUGCUCCACUAUCACUGCGGGGAAGAGCGUCACAUGUCAGGGUCCUGCUGAACCAGAGACCACCCUGAGACUGAAUUCUGGUCUUCUCUUCUGCACGACAACCAGCACUGCUGAUACUAAAGAGACUCCCCCAAAAUGUGCCUGACAUUGAAGUUCUUCACACUUUUAUUAUGGAACCCUUAUACUGUCUCUUCCAUUCAUUUGGGCUCCUCUGAUACUGACAUUGGGAAUUUCACUUAGCAGAGCCAAAUUUCGUGAUUGAUAUACAUUCCCACAAAUCAGUGUUAGUGAAUAUUAUUUACUAGAUUUGUGAUUGAAAAUAACACAUACAGUGUACACACCCAGGAAUGGUCAUAGUGCAGAGAAGUUGGUCUCUUAAUAAGAAUGCUACCCGGCUGACAUGCUGGGGAGUAAAGAUGUAUCAGUCACUAGGUAUCAUUACCUAAUCUUCACUGUUAACCAGACAGGUACUUGUUAUCUCCAGCUCAAAGAUAAAUAACUGGGUUAGUAGUCCUGCUCAGGGUCACAGAGCUGAUAGGAUAGAGAUUUGACUCCUGCCAUUUUAACCCCAGCCCCUCGGCUCCCAAUGAAUAUAAAGUUGGUUGCUUACCUCCUGGUGCCAUGGUGAGAUUUGCAAAAUUAUUUUCAGAAACUAUUUUUUAUUAAAUACUGUGUAUAUUCAAAAGCCUAUUCACAAAAUACAUAUUUCAAAGAAUGAGGAUUCAGUGAACACCCAUUUCAUUCUCCACUCAGGUUUUUAAAGUACCACAAUCGUGAUGUCCCCUGUGGACUUCCCUAAUCUUGUCACUUUCUUUUUUCUCACCAUCGAACUAGUACUGUAGAAAAAAAAAGAAUGACAUUUUAAAAUAUUUUAAACCAAAGUAUUCAAAAGCACUCUGUCAGAUCACUCUCUUUUCCCACCGGUUUUUCUGCUGUCUUCUCCCUGCCCGUUCUUUGCUCUGACCUCUUCCCUCUUUUCUGUCCCUGUUGUGGUGACAGAGAAGAACCUGGUCAGACCUGCUGUAGGAUGUCAGGGAAGGGGAAUGGGCCGCCGGAGCCUGUGCUGGGCAGUCUCAGUGAGGUAACAGGAUUUUUGCUUCCUUCAACCAACACAUCCUUUUCCAAUAAGGUGUGCCAUUGAGGGAUCGUAACUGACCAAAGGAAAGGAGUGAUUCAGUCCAACUGUGCUGACAGGGCUCUCCCAAGCUUACCAGGUUAGGAGUCAUUGUCAUUAACCCUGUGGACAUGUAGCCUUCAAUAGUGUGACUUAAACCAGGGAUUUGUCUCAAAGGUUCUGCCGCCUGCCUUGCAAGCGCAAGGGCCUGAGUUCGAUCCCCUGUACCCCCACAAAGUGUGAUUUAAAAUAUUGCUACAUUUUUCAUAACCUAUGCGAAGGCAGUCAUAACACACUGAAAAACCAUUGGAUGGAACAUGAUAACGUAUCCUUGUUGUCCCUUAAUAGUGUAAUACAGUUUUUAAGCAAGUAGUAAUAGCUGGUCGUGUGUACAAAAAUCAAGAUGGCAGGAAUACUAGAAUUCUUUCCAUCAGUUGGGAAAAUACAUUCAAAUAAUUUACUCCAACUUUUUACGAAUUAAAACAAUUUGGUUGCACAUUGAACUCUGUUGUGUAAGUUUUUCUGAGGACUGUGGUUCAAUAGGAGGAGGUUCCAAUUUAAUGCAGUCUUAGCUGUUUGAGACUUAGUACUAUGCUGUUUAAAUUACUUCCAUAAUCUUGCAAAAAUAUAAUUAAUUUACAAAGAUGAAGAAGAACCACGUCUAACUAAAUAUAAAAGUGCUUAUAAAUUUGGGGCAGUGGUGCACGCCUGUAAUCCCAGCACUCUGGGAGCCUGAGACAGGAGGAUCCCAAGCUCAUCACAGUCUGAGCAAUUUAGUGAGACCCUGUGUCAAAGCUAAAAAAUAAAAAUAAGUAAAAAUAGAGUGGGGGACAGGAUGCGGUUCAGUGUGAAGGCUCCAAUUUCAAACCAUAGUAUGGUUAAAAAAAAACUUAUAAAGUCUUUUGUGUAUAAAUGUAUAGUCAUUUGCAUAAUCACAUUUACAUAUGUAUGUUAUAGCUAUGUGUAUUUGUAUGUGUAAAUAUAAUAUGCACUCUUUAUAGAACUGAUGUUGGAGCCAGCCAUAUGAUUUGGAGUUUUAUCAAAUGGAGUGAAACUUUCAAUGAUUAUGAUUUGGCCUGUAAAAAUAGGAAUAAUGAGAUCAAAGUGUACCUGUCUACUUUUAUCUCCUAUCGCUGCUUUUUUUGCUUAGAAACAAAUUUAUGUUGAAAUAAUAUACCUGUGAACCUCAAAUAUGAGGAAAAGAGCUACACAAGACACUUUGUUUCAGUUUGUCCAGGUCUCAAGACGUGUGGUAAAAACAUGGAACCUGGAGUCAUCUUGGCAAAUGCAGCAUCAGAGCUUCCCUGAUUUCAAAGCCUCUGUUGAGUGUUCUAAGUACUUUCUGUGACAUCUCUUACUAGAGGAAUUGGCACCAGCUAAGAAAAUGUUCAGUUUAAUACUUUAGAGCAAAUAAUUGCCUAGGAUGCCUUAAAUAUCACAGGAAAUGUAUAGAUUGUUUACCUGACAUUUGCUCCAUUGAACACUAAUACUGAAACAGAUUCUUCGACCACAGAGAAUGCUGGUGUAGGUGGAGUGGGGGUGGACGAGAGAAAGAGGCAGAGAAAAAACAGCCAACAUGAUUAGAUAAAAAAUAAAUGGCAAAUGAGUUUGUUUUUUUUUUUAUUUUUUUCACAAUAUGGAGCUACCAGGAAAAUAAAUGCCCACUUGUUUGAUCCAGUGGUCUUGGACUGUGGUGGCAAAAAGCAAAGGACAUAGAACUCUGUUAGGAUUAGGUUUCUUCCACAAAAGGUUGCCUUCACCUGGCCGUUGAAAGCCCUAUAGCCCCUGGGUGACCUGGUUUAUUUUUCAAGAUCCUGAAAGCUAGAGGAAUAACCUCCCUUAAAAAAAAAAAAAAGAAGAAGAAGAAGAAAGGGGGGAGGGGAAGGGGAGGAGGGAGAAGAGGAAGAGGAAGAAGAAGAGGGGAAAUAAUUCGUUGUUGUCUGUUUAAUCUGCACAUGCUUGCGAACUUUUUUCUAAGUGACAGCUCUGGUGCCCUCAUUUCUUAAUGUAGCUCAGUUUCUUGAGCCCCCCCCCCAUGCUUCUUGCACUUGUGUUCUUUUCUCACUUCCCUAGCAAUGUUCAUGUAGGUCUUAUCUUAGAAUGGGUUCUGGGCCGGUUUAGUGCAGCUCAGAAGUGCAGAGCAUUUUUCCCCCCACAAACUGGAUCCAAGGCGCUUUGACUCGGUUGCAUUUAAUAGGAAAAAGUAGGAGAUAGUUUAGGGAACUGAGCCCUUUUCCAUUCAUAGGUUCGUGUCAGCUCUGCAGCAUCUUUAAGGGAAUUUUAAAUGCAUCUGGUAAAAGCCAAUUGGCAGGCACACAGGAUGGGCUCAGGCAUGUGGAAUUGUGCAGUGUUAGUGAAAUCUGUUAGAAGCUUCCGUCUUUCUGUCUCGUCAAGGGGAGCUACUUUUAAAUACUCAAGGGAAUUUCGUAAACAAUGAUCCUAAGUCAAAACUUCCCCCUGCAGGUUAGCCCCUGUGCUACAAUGCUCAGCAGAGGAAACGCUGUAUUUAUGGCUUUUCCACUGAUUUGAGAUUUGACCUUGAAUAAAUCAUGUUUAACUUCUCGAUGCUUCGUUUAACUUUUGAAAGACGUGUGGUUGUGGAUGGCCUGUGGGAAGACAGUGACUGAAGCUCACAACAGAAGGGGGACUUCAAGGAAAAUUUUAUUAGGAACGAGCUGUGGGUAUGAAAGCAGUCCUUAUGCAGGGGGCUCUUGGUGAACAAUCUUGCCAUGUGUGGCUCCUAAGGAAGGCAGGGGUUUUCUUGUAACAAUCUUACUAUAUUUUAUAGAAUUAAAAUUUGUAUUGUUUUACAUUAUGUUAUUGUUUCCUAUGUAUAUUUAUUGGUUUAUUCUUUAACUCCAGAAAGCUUUGUGUUCGUACAUCUUCUACCUGUACUAGGAUUUUUAUUUAUAAUGUUACAAUUUAAAUUGUAAUGAAGCAGUAACAAAUUUUGUUUAAUAUGCAGAGACCUUUAAUUUUAUUGUGCAGAAGAAAGUCUAAGGCAGUUGUUUAAAAAGUUGCCUAGGAGAUGAUCUAAGUGGUUUUUCAUUUAUUUGGAG
rnacentral:lncRNA from 1 species